rnacentral:rRNA from 1 species
GAAACCAACCAGGAAUUCCCUCAGUAGCGGUGAGUGAAGAGGGAAGAGCCCAGCGCCGAAUCCCCCGUCCCCUCGCGGGCGCGGGGAAAUGUGGCGUACGGAAGUCCGCAUCGCCCGGCGCGGGCCUGAGGCCUUAUUAUUUAUGAUGAACGCUUAGACAGUGUACGGUCUGAGGCCGGCAACGCCCCNCUGNNGCGCGNNCUUCUUGCAUUUGGGAUGUUUGGAAAUGCAUCCCAAAUCGGCAGGUAAACUCCAUCUAAGGUUAAAUACUGGCACUAGAUCGAUAGCGAACAAGUACCAUAACAGAAAGUUGAAAAUAACUUUGAAGAGAGAGUUCAACAUGGUUUGAAACCAUUAAGAGGUAAACGGUUGGCGUCCGCCCAGGGGAUUCAACCUUGAAGUAACCGCCCAUUUCCUCCACGGCGGUGUGCCCCUACCGGUAUCUGGUUAAAGUUGGAAGGGUCUGUGAACGAAGGUGGCUCAUGGCUCCGGCCCCGAGCCUUUCCGCCUCCGACGCAGCUGUCGACCGGGCCGGACUGCCCUCAGACGUGGCAUGGCGCGGCCCACGACACCAAAAGGGCGCUCUGGGUCCACGGCGAUGCCGGCCACCCAACCGACCCGUCUUGAAACACGGACCAAGGAG